rnacentral:piRNA from 1 species
UGAGCUGACUAUUGAGUCGGAGGCGCCCUC